rnacentral:lncRNA from 1 species
GGAGUGGAGCUAUGUAGAAUAGGUAAAUAAACUUUGUGGUAAGUUACUGGUUGGUUAUUGACAACCUUGAGAAUUAGAUUGAUGGUUAGGCAAUUUAGUUGGUAACAGUAGGUUGUUAGUAGAAUAAAUGGUUAACAAUUCAAAGGGACAUAACCUUUGGAAUCCACUGGCCGGCAAAUCAUCUUUUUAGUAGGAUAAAUAGGUUGAAGAAAGAGAGAUCGAGAGCCAGAGUGAGAAUCAUAAGCCGAGAGCGAGACUGAGAAUCAUAAGCCGGGGUAAGCUUGGUCCUACUUCUUUGUUUUUUUUAUUAUUUGAUUAUGAAGAAUGGUGAUUGAGAGAAGCAUUAUUGAAUUGAUAAUCUUAGAAUGGAUUAUG